CUCUCUUAUUUUACUCUUUUUUUCUUAUCCAUGAAUACGUGUGAGUGGUGGAUUCAAAAACAAAAUGGCGGUUGUAGCCCAAAAAAAAAAUAAUCAAAAGUGACAGGUGACAGUUCUCGAAUUCUAAAUUUUGUUUGUUGCAAAAUAAAUUUUUUUUCAAGUUUUCCACGCUUAAUUCUUUUAUUAAUAAAAACGCAAAAGAUUAGUGAGUAUAAAGAACAUUAAUGAAGAAUCAUUCAUAUUCUGAUGAAAAAUAAAAUAAAUAAAUUUGUGCUUCGACGCCUCUUGGAGGAGCAAGGCCUGGUGAUAGUGACAAACAACUUCGAGCUAUUCUUAUGUGCGUGUACUUAAUUUACAAGAGUGGAAUGGACCUUUGGUUUACCACGCGCAGAGUCCGAAUCAGAGAUGUACCUACUUUUCAUGACAAUGAUGCUCGUGUCAAUUCCUCGUAAAAGGCAGUAUCGCUGGAAUUAAAUGGUUUUACUCGUGCAGCGAAGUAGCUAAAAAGAAAUUCCCAGAUUGUCCGUAUCCACGAAACCAACUUGAAGAAACAAGGUCUCUUCCGUUUUACAUACGAAAAUCCCUCUGAUCGCGUAAAGACAUUACCAACAGACAAAAUCUCUAUAAUUGGAUCGAAGGGUUUGGGAACUGGUAAGCCAGUUCAGAUCAAGCUCAACCAAUCUCAAAAACAACAACAAUUUAAAUGGUUCAAGGCUGGCAGUGGUCUCAACCGCAUGAAGCAAUUAUGUGGCUUCUAAAGCCUAGUACGCAGCUGAAGCGAAACGAAAAAAUUUGAAGUCUCCAAAGUAGAGUUGGGCACUUUAGUUCAUUUGAGUGAUCGAUCACUUUAGUUCAAAUCACGAUACUGAACUAGUUCAUUUUAGUUCAAUUUAUUUUAAUCACCCCGGUUUUGUUAGAAUUAAAAAACAAAACUAGUUUUUAUUAUUAUUAUGUAAAUUUAUGUAGAAUUGACGCAUUCUACAUAAUAAAACAAAUACAACCUAAAAAUAAAAUAGGUA